rnacentral:lncRNA from 1 species
AUGAGGAAACUGAGAUGCACACACGGUAGCAUUCAGGACAGUGGAAGGCCGAGAUGGAGACGCCCGCCCCAGCCACUGCCGCAGAGAAGAAGCCAGAAGUGGGAUCCUGGAGACCCCAGCAGCGAAAAGGCCUCUCGUCUCGCAGCGGCUGCAGCGGCCCCGGCGGCUGCCCAAGCACAGGUGUAUGAGAUGAGACGACUGACUGCCUGCUCAAGCUGGAGCCUGGAGCCCCAGUUCUGUGUCCGGAGAACGCAAGAGCGCCAAUCCAUCUCGGGGGCGCAGCCAUUUUACUGUUAGAUUUGGAAGAAAGAGCCCCUCAGUGGGGACCGUCACUCCUCCCCCGGAAGAGAAGGAUGUUCCAGGGGUGGCAGGUGGGCCCCACCAUUGGUUAUGCACAAGCUCCGGCGCGGGCCUCUCCUAGGCCAUUUCCAAGGUUAGCAGCCAUCCUAGAAAGUCCUUGAGGGCUGAGCAAACUGGACACGGCAGCAGGUAGCAACCACACAAGACACAGUCCUGGGCUCGUCCAGGUUCCUCCCAUAGAAGGGAGGCAUUGCUACCGUGGUGGUGAACAGGAUCACCUCUAAACUCCAGAUAUCAGCCUUGAAGGUGUCCUAGUCCUCCGGCAGAAAUGCUCAAGGGGCACAGGACUGUGGGGUCCCGCAAAACCUGCUCACCAGUUGUCCUUCAGCCAGCUGUCAGCUCAUCCUAAAGUCUGCCAGUUUGAUAGUCUUGUGCACGCCCAAUAGCAGAUUGUCCAGCUUCAGGUCCCUAUGUGCCAGGCAGCUUGCAUGGCAGUAGUGCACAGCCGGCAGGGUCUGGUUGAACGUGGACCUGACCUGGGCCUCCCGCAAGCAGCCCUGCAGCAUCACCUAGGCCAGAGAUGGCUCCUGCUCACGAGCUCUGUCACUAGACACGCAUGCUUAUGUGUGUGCCUCACCUCCAGGAGCUGGACGAUGCUCUCAUGAUGUAGGGUCUUCGUGACAGCCACUGCUUCCUCCGGAUUCAGUGAGCUGAAGGGCCUGAUGUUUUGUGGCGCUUUCUCCUCCAGAUUCCUUGAGCUAAAGGGCUUGCUGCAGUUCUGCCUAGCACUUUGACAGCCACGUGCUUCUCAGCUGCAAAGUGGAAUGGGAGCUUCACCAGGCUGCAGCUGCCCGGGCAGACGGUGUACAGGAUGUGGAACCCAUCAAGAGCAUAAACUUCAUGCUAGAAGGCCCAGGGCCUUCCAUCCUGGGAUCCACAUAUCUACGCUAUCUAAAGACUACCCUCUCUAAACUACUCUGUCAACAAAUACUAACUAAUCCACUACCCUUACCUCAAUAUCUAAUAAAAAGGAAGGGAUAACAAGGGGACUGCUAAUA